CCACGCCGCCCGCCCCCACGCCCCCACGCCCCACGACGCCCACCCCCACACCACUAUGCCCCCACGUGCCACGACGCCACGCCCCACGACGUCCUCCCUCACGCCCCCACGCCGCCCGCCCCCACGCCCCACGCCCCACGCCCCACGCCGUCCGCCCCCAAGCCCCCACGCCCCACGACGCCAGUCCCUAUGACGCCACGCCCGGGCAGCUUUGCGGGAAGGCGGCAGAACCCUGCGGCUGCGGAUGGAGCUGGCCGGCGGGGACUCUAGGGGACCGUCAGCUUUCAAAGGAGCCCCCUCCAAACCAGUGUUUCUGAAGCCCGGGAACAGACGCUCCGUCCGCCAGCGCUCAGAGAGGCCGCGGUUGAACUCCAAUAGCAGGAGAGCGGCUUUGAGUCGGCCCGAGAGGACCCUGUUUCUGAUGACAACGUGCAGGCAAGAGCCAUACAUCGGAAAAGACCUGCAAACGUGUGAAGACCCGAGAUUCUUUACGUUCAUGGCUGUCAGUCAUUUCUAGAGAAAUAUUUUCCUUUCAAACGUCUGUUCCAUGUGAAGGUCCGCUGUGGGGCCUUCGCCUCGCCCGUCCUGGUGUGUCCUUGUUCUUUGUCGGACACUCGAUCUCACGUGACAAGUUCCACUUAUUCUGCCUUCCCAGCAGGUCAGAGAUGAUGUGAUUAUGUGGUUGAUUUUCUUUCAUAUGCGGUGAGGAGAUCAGUGGUGUGUAGAUGCCAUGUUGAAUUGACUCCUUUGCCAGAGUUGACUCCGGCACGAUCACUGCUCUUUCACUUCAUUUAAAAGAGUCUAAGUCUGCAGCGUCUUGUAGAACUGAUGGUUUUUUUAAGGAAGAGACUCUUUUGUUUAUUUCCGAAAUACUGUGAAAUUUAUAAGCCGAGUCACAGUUACCAGUUUUCUCUCAAAAUCUCUUUCUCUUGAAAUAAAAAUCUCCCUUCUAUUUAUCA
rnacentral:lncRNA from 1 species